GAUGAAGAACGCAGCGAAAUGCGAUAAGUAAUGUGAAUUGCAGAAUUCAGUGAAUCAUCGAAUCUUUGAACGCAUCUUGCGCUCCUUGGUAUUCUGAGGAGCAUGCCUGUUUGAGUGUCAUUAAAUUCUCAACCGCACUGACUUUGAAUUGAUGUGGCUUGGAUUUGGGGGGAAAAUUGUUGUGGGCUUUUUUGUAUAGUCUGCUCCCCUGAAAUUGAUUAGCGGUACCUUUGUGGAACUGUCUACAGGUGUGAUAAUUAUCUACAUCCUAGACAUCUGCUGGAAUGCUGCUUUCUAAACCUUACGUGUAUUGACAAUCUUGACCUCAAAUCAGGUAGGACUACCCGCUGAACUUAAGCAUAUCAAUAAGCGGAGGA
rnacentral:misc_RNA from 1 species